GAUGAACGCUAGCUACAGGCUUAACACAUGCAAGUCGAGGGGUAACGAGAGGAAAGCUUGCUUUCCUUGUCGACGACCGGCGCACGGGUGAGUAACGCGUAUCCAACCUGCCCCCAACUAAGGAAUAACCUUGCGAAAGUAAGACUAAUACCUUAUAAUUUCCUCAGAUGUCAUCUGACGAGGAAUAAAGAUUUAUCGGUUGUGGAUGGGGAUGCGUGUGAUUAGCUUGAUGGCGGGGUAACGGCCCACCAAGGCAACGAUCAGUAGGGGUUCUGAGAGGAAGGUCCCCCACAUUGGAACUGAGACACGGUCCAAACUCCUACGGGAGGCAGCAGUGAGGAAUAUUGGUCAAUGGGCGGAAGCCUGAACCAGCCAAGUAGCGUGCAGGAUGACGGCCCUAUGGGUUGUAAACUGCUUUUAUACAGGAAUAAAGUUAGCCACGUGUGGUUAUUUGUAGGUACUGUAUGAAUAAGGACCGGCUAAUUCCGUGCCAGCCGCCGCAGUAA
rnacentral:rRNA from 1 species